GUAGGGAAUCUUCCACAAUGGACGAAAGUCUGAUGGAGCAACGCCGCGUGAGUGAAGAAGGGUUUCGGCUCGUAAAACUCUGUUGUUAAAGAAGAACAUAUCUGAGAGUAACUGUUCAGGUAUUGACGGUAUUUAACCAGAAAGCCACGGCUAACUACGUGCCA
rnacentral:rRNA from 1 species